rnacentral:rRNA from 1 species
UUCGGGUUGUAAAGCCCUUUUKUUGGGAAAGAAAUCCAGCCGGCUAAUACCUGGUUGGGAUGACGGUACCCAAAGAAUAAGCACCGGCUAACUUCGUGCCAGCAGCCGCGGUAAUACGAAGGGUGCAAGCGUUACUCGGAAUUACUGGGCGUAAAGCGUGCGUAGGUGGUCGUUUAAGUCUGUUGUGAAAGCCCUGGGCUCAACCUGGGAACUGCAGUGGAAACUGGACGACUAGAGUGUGGUAGAGGGUAGCGGAAUUCCUGGUGUAGCAGUGAAAUGCGUAGAGAUCAGGAGGWACAUCCAUGGCGAAGGCAGCUACCUGGACCAACACUGACACUGAGGCACGAAAGCGUGGGGAGCAAACAGGAUUAGAUACCCUGGUAGUCCACGCCCUAAACGAUGCGAACUGGAUGUUGGGUGCAAUUUGGCACGCAGUAUCGAAGCUAACGCGUUAAGUUCGCCGCCUGGGGAGUACGGUCGCAAG